CUAUUACUCCCACCGUCCCAAUUUUUUUGUCUUAAAUUUGUUUAGAUAUGAAUGUAUCUAGUCAUGUUUUGGUAUUUACAUACAUUCAUUUCUAUACAAACCUAAGACAAGAAUUUUUGGACGGAGGGAGUACUAC
rfam:Hordeum vulgare subsp. vulgare, WGS project CAJW01000000 data, contig: morex_contig_368570